GAUGAACGCUGGCGGCGUGCCUAAUACAUGCAAGUCGAGCGAACAGACGAGGAGCUUGCUCCUCUGACGUUAGCGGCGGACGGGUGAGUAACACGUGGAUAACCUACCUAUAAGACUGGGAUAACUUCGGGAAACCGGAGCUAAUACCGGAUAACAUGUUGAACCGCAUGGUUCAACAGUGAAAGACGGUCUUGCUGUCACUUAUAGAUGGAUCCGCGCCGCAUUAGCUAGUUGGUAAGGUAACGGCUUACCAAGGCAACGAUGCGUAGCCGACCUGAGAGGGUGGUCGGCCACACUGGAACUGAGACACGGUCCAGACUCCUACGGGAGGCAGCAGUAGGGAAUCGUCCGCAAUGGGCGAAAGCCUGACGGAGCAACGCCGCGUGAGUGAAGAAGGUCUUCGGAUCGUAAAACUCUGUUAUUAGGGAAGAACAAAUGUGUAAGUAACUAUGCACGUCUUGACGGUACCUAAUCAGAAAGCCACGGCUAACUACGUG
rnacentral:rRNA from 1 species